GUGGCCGUGCUUGCAGGGUGGCCUCUCGAUUCAUGGCUAUUGGACUUUGACAUGAAUAAUAUUCUACAUUUAUCAAACCAGCAUCUGGAUCUGAAUACUUUUGUAAUUGCAAAAAAACAAUCCUUGACAGUUUAUUGAAUAGAACGCUGGGACUUGUAGUUCUACAUAGAACAGUGCUUGUUUUCUCUAAAAGUAGCUUUUCAGGUACAUAGUACAAUUUGGAGUUCACUCAAUACAGACUCGUAUAUCUAAUGAUAUCUUCAGAGCAGUUGGAGCUCUAUAUUCCUGAUACAAAGCUCCAGAUCCCCUGCAUAGACUUAGGGUUAAAUGGUCGCUGUCAUUUCACAUAGCUUUGCAUAAAUCAAUAGUACACACAAAUAUAAAUAAAAAAAAUUAAAAUAAAAUAUAUAUAAUAUAUCUCAUCAGAAAUUUGUUUUAAAUCCAUCUUCUGAGACCAAGAUGGGCUGCUUGCUCACUGAAGAAACAGAUUACUUCAUCUCAUGGAAGUCUAUGGAGAGGGGAGGCAGGAAGAGAAUGGAGGAAGUGGGGAGAGAGAGAGACACAACACAGGAAUGCUUCAGCAGCUUAACGUAAGUGUUAUGUCUCAUCCCAAGUGCUUUAUUCGCAUUUACACUGCUCAGUACUUCUCUACAAUGUCCCAUAUGGUCACUGUCAUUUCACACAACUUUGCUUAAAUAUUAUAUAUAUAUAUAUAUAUUAUCAGAGAAAAAUCGCUUGUCCUAGACUUAUCAGAUUAUCCUCCCUUCUUUACAAAACUAACUUUUUCUUCUGAAAGUUGUAAUUAAUCCCUCUUGUGAGAGAAAUACAGGCUGCUAGCUCACUGAAGAAACAGAUUACAUCUUCUUAUCGAAGUCUACAGAGAGGGGAGGCAGGAGGAGAAUAGAAGAAGUGCAGAGAAAAACAGAGAGAUAGACACAACACAAGAAUGCCUCAGCAGAUUCAGCUGCUAAUGAUGUUAUAUCUCACUCCAAGUGCUUUAUUCAUAUCUAUACUGCUCAGUAUUUCUAUAUAACGUCCUAUAUGGUCA